rnacentral:rRNA from 1 species
UACGAAGGGGCAAGCGUUGUUCGGAAUCAUUGGGCGUAAAGGGCGCGUAGGUGGUUCUGUAUGUCUACCGUGAAAGCGUACGGCUCAACCGUAUUUUGUCGGUAGAAACUGCAGGACUUGAGGCUGGGAGGGGCUGGUGGAAUUCCCAGUGUAGAGGUGAAAUUCGUAGAUAUUGGGAAGAACACCGGUGGCGAAGGCGGCUCACUGGCUCAUUACUGACGCUCAGGCGCGAUAGCGUGGGGAUCAAACAGG